rnacentral:rRNA from 1 species
GUGCCAGCAGCCGCGGUAAUACCGGCAGCCCGAGUGAUGGCCACUAUUAUUGGGCCUAAAGCGUCCGUAGCCGGCCUCGCAAGUCCGUCGGGAAAUCCAGUAGCUCAACUACUGGGCGACCGGCGGAAACUACAAGGCUUGGGACCGGAAGGCUCGAAGGGUACGUUCGGGGUAGGAGUGAAAUCCCAUAAUCCCGCACGGACCACCGAUGGCGAAAGCACUUCGAGAAAACGGAUCCGACAGUGAGGGACGAAAGCCAGGGUCUCCAACCGGAUUAGAUACCCCUGUAGUUC